ensembl:miRNA
GGGACCCGCGCAGUCCGGUCCCGCGGUGUCUCCGCCUGUUGAUGCCGCGCGGCCCGCGGGCUCGGAUGCUCGGCGCUCUG